rnacentral:rRNA from 1 species
CUACGGGUGGCACCAGGUACGAAGCCUCUACAAUGCGCGAAAGCGUGAUAGGGGAACUCCAAGUGCAAUAGCUAUGCUAUUGCUGUGGCGAAGCGUAAAUAACUUCGCAAGAAAGGGGUGGGCAAGACAGGUGCCAGCAGCCGCGGUAACCCCUGCGCCUCGAGUCGUGACCAUGUUUAUUGGGCCUAAAGUAUCCGUAGCCGGAGUAUUAAGUUUUCUGUGAAAUCGUGCAGCUUAACUGUACGGCGUGCAGGAAAUACUGUUAUUCUAGGGACCGGGAGGUGUCAAGGGUAUUUCUGGGGUAAGGGUUAAAUCUUAUAAUCCCAGGAGGACCAACGGUGGCGAAGGCGCUUGACAAGAACGGGUCCGACGGUGAAUGGAUGAAAGCUGGGGUAGCAAAGCGGAUUAGAUACCCCAGUAGUC